rnacentral:rRNA from 1 species
UAGCGGAACUCCUACGGGAGGCAGCAGUGGGGAAUUUUGGACAAUGGGCGGAAGCCUGAUGCAGCGACGCCGCGUGGGGGAUGACGGUCUUCGGAUUGUAAACUCCUUUCAGUGGGGACGAGGCGAGAGUGACGGUACCUGCAGAAGAAGCACCGGCCAACUACGUGCCAGCAGCCGCGGUAAUACGUAGGGUGCGAGCGUUGUCCGGAAUUACUGGGCGUAAAGAGCUCGUAGGCGGUUUGUCGCGUCUGCUGUGAAAGCCCGGGGCUUAACCCCGGGUGUGCAGUGGGUACGGGCAGACUAGAGUGCAGUAGGGGAGACUGGAAUUCCUGGUGUAGCGGUGAAAUGCGCAGAUAUCAGGAGGAACACCGAUGGCGAAGGCAGGUCUCUGGGCUGUUACUGACGCUGAGGAGCGAAAGCAUGGGAAGCGAACAGGAUUAGAAACCCUUGUAGUCCACUUAUG